GCCAGCGUGGUACAGUGGUUUAAGUGUUGGACUAAGACUCUGGAGACUAGGGUUUGAUUCCCAGCUUUGCCA